AAUAAGAAAUAAAAUAAUUAAAAUUAAGCUGCUAACUUUAUUUUUAGUGGUUAAAUUCCAUUA
rnacentral:tRNA from 1 species